AAAACGGCAAUAAGACUGCUCCCACCACCGACUUUAAUAAUACGAGGGCUCGAAGGUUUCCCCUCUCGUCUCUUCUCUUGUUAAAUUGAGAUCGGCGGGCGAGAUCUCCUCCUCCGCCCCUCGAUCGAUCCAUUCAUUUUAGGAUUUUCAGGUUUUCUACUUCUGAAGCCCUUUCCGUAAGGUGAAUUGUGCAAUUAGUCACUGAGCUUAUCAUGAAGUUUUACUCAGAUUAGCGAACUUUUGCAAUUGAUGGAAUAAAUUUCACUUCAAUUCCGUCUCAGAAGGAUCACUCAACCAAACUCUAUUUGGUUUCCCUAACACAGAGAUGAUGUGGUGGUUGAUUAACUUACAUUAUUUCAAGACUAUUCUAUGUCAAUUGAUACACAUCUCGUGGAGGCAGACAAUGUAGUGUAACACAUAAUCAAGAAGCUUUUGGCUGAACAGUGGAUGGAGGCAUCAAAUCAUUCAGGCGGGAAUAUUCUAUAGAAAAGCAAUUCAGGUAAGAGUCUGAGUACCAAAUUCAUCUCUAAAGGUGAUUCUAUUAAUUUACACACAGCUUGACACAUGGUGCAAUCAGAAGCGUGGGAAACUACCUUGCCUCUCUUUUAAUGAAAUGUUCUUGCGAGUGCUAUGAAACAAGAAUGAUGCUUGUGAUUUUCGCAUGACUAUGUUUUCCUUGUGACAAAUUAUGUAGACUGGUUAUUUCAGACAAGAUUUUUAGCAGCUUCUGCAGUUAUGAUAAAUGAAUCUGUUAUAAGAACUGUUAUGCUAAAGCAGAUUGAUAUAUAUUUUUAAGUUGUUUCCCUGGUAAUGAAAAUUGGAUGCAUCAUA